rnacentral:rRNA from 1 species
UGGGGAAUAUUGCACAAUGGGGGGAACCCGUGAUGCAGCGACGCCGCGUGAGCGAAGAAGUAUUUCGGUAUGUAAAGCUCUAUCAGCAGGGAAGAAAAUGACGGUACCUGACUAAGAAGCUCCGGCUAAAUACGUGCC